rnacentral:rRNA from 1 species
GAUGAACGCUGGCGGCGUGCCUAAUACAUGCAAGUCGAGCGAACGGACGAGAAGCUUGCUUCUCUGAUGUUAGCGGCGGACGGGUGAGUAACACGUGGAUAACCUACCUAUAAGACUGGGAUAACUUCGGGAAACCGGAGCUAAUACCGGAUAAUAUUUUGAACCGCAUGGUUCAAAAGUGAAAGACGGUCUUGCUGUCACUUAUAGAUGGAUCCGCGCUGCAUUAGCUAGUCGGUAAGGUAACGGCUUACCAAGGCAACGAUGCAUAGCCGACCUGAGAGGGUGAUCGGCCACACUGGAACUGAGACACGGUCCAGACUCCUACGGGAGGCAGCAGUAGGGAAUCUUCCGCAAUGGGCGAAAGCCUGACGGAGCAACGCCGCGUGAGUGAUGAAGGUCUUCUGAUCUUAAAACUCUGUUAUUAGGGAAGAACAUAUGUGUAAGUAACUGUGCACAUCUUGACGGUACCUAAUCAGAAAGCCACGGCUAACUACGUG